rnacentral:rRNA from 1 species
CACGUAGGGCGCAAGCGUUGUCCGGAAUUAUUGGGCGUAAAGAGCUCGUAGGUGGUUUGCUGCGUCCGCUGUGAAAACCCAAGGCUUAACCUUGGGCUUGCAGUGGAUACGGGCAGACUAGAGGUAGGUAGGGGAGAAUGGAAUUCCCGGUGUAGCGGUGAAAUGCGCAGAUAUCGGGAGGAACACCGGUGGCGAAGGCAGGUCUCUGGGCCACUACUGACGCUGAGAAGCGAAAGCAUGGGGAGCGAACAGG